GUACUGAUUAGCUGAGAGAGAGAGAGCCUUCACGACUCUUGGGAUGAUUCCCGAACAGAGAGUCAUUCUCGCUACCUGCAUGCUAGUGGGAGAGGUAAGCUACUGGCGGCAACUCAAGCAGGCCUCCCUGUCUUUUCUAGUCACUUGGGAAUAAUUCCUGACAGCCUUUCAUAGAGAGUACCUCCCAGAGCAUCUCCGACAUCUAAAGAAGAUACAGUUUG
rnacentral:lncRNA from 1 species